rnacentral:rRNA from 1 species
UCAUCUCCGGGGGUAGAGCACUGUUUCGGCAAGGGGGUCAUCCCGACUUACCAACCCGAUGCAAACUGCGAAUACCGGAGAAUGUUAUCACGGGAGACACACGGCGGGUGCUAACGUCCGUCGUGAAGAGGGAAACAACCCAGACCGCCAGCUAAGGUCCCAAAGUCAUGGUUAAGUGGGAAACGAUGUGGGAAGGCCCAGACAGCCAGGAUGUUGGCUUAGAAGCAGCCAUCAUUUAAAGAAAGCGUAAUAGCUCACUGGUCGAGUCGGCCUGCGCGGAAGAUGUAACGGGGCUAAACCAUGCACCGAAGCUGCGGCAGCGACNNNNNNNNNNNNNNNNNNNNNNNNNNNNNNNNNNNNNNNNNNNNNNNNNNAUGCUGGAGGUAUCAGAAGUGCGAAUGCUGACAUAAGUAACGAUAAAGCGGGUGAAAAGCCCGCUCGCCGGAAGACCAAGGGUUCCUGUCCAACGUUAAUCGGGGCAGGGUGAGUCGACCCCUAAGGCGAGGCCGAAAGGCGUAGUCGAUGGGAAACAGGUUAAUAUUCCUGUACUUGGUGUUACUGCGAAGGGGGGACGGAGAAGGCUAUGUUGGCCGGGCGACGGUUGUCCCGGUUUAAGCGUGUAGGCUGGUUUUCCAGGCAAAUCCGGAAAAUCAAGGCUGAGGCGUGAUGACGAGGCACUACGGUGCUGAAGCAACAAAUGCCCUGCUUCCAGGAAAAGCCUCUAAGCAUCAGGUAACAUCAAAUCGUACCCCAAACCGACACAGGUGGUCAGGUAGAGAAUACCAAGGCGCUUGAGAGAACUCGGGUGAAGGAACUAGGCAAAAUGGUGCCGUAACUUCGGGAGAAGGCACGCUGAUAUGUAGGUGAGGUCCCUCGCGGAUGGAGCUGAAAUCAGUCGAAGAUACCAGCUGGCUGCAACUGUUUAUUAAAAACACAGCACUGUGCAAACACGAAAGUGGACGUAUACGGUGUGACGCCUGCCCGGUGCCGGAAGGUUAAUUGAUGGGGUUAGCGGUAACGCGAAGCUCUUGAUCGAAGCCCCGGUAAACGGCGGCCGUAACUAUAACGGUCCUAAGGUAGCGAAAUUCCUUGUCGGGUAAGUUCCGACCUGCACGAAUGGCGUAAUGAUGGCCAGGCUGUCUCCACCCGAGACUCAGUGAAAUUGAACUCGCUGUGAAGAUGCAGUGUACCCGCGGCAAGACGGAAAGACCCCGUGAACCUUUACUAUAGCUUGACACUGAACAUUGAGCCUUGAUGUGUAGGAUAGGUGGGAGGCUUUGAAGUGUGGACGCCAGUCUGCAUGGAGCCGACCUUGAAAUACCACCCUUUAAUGUUUGAUGUUCUAACGUUGACCCGUAAUCCGGGUUGCGGACAGUGUCUGGUGGGUAGUUUGACUGGGGCGGUCUCCUCCUAAAGAGUAACGGAGGAGCACGAAGGUUGGCUAAUCCUGGUCGGACAUCAGGAGGUUAGUGCAAUGGCAUAAGCCAGCUUGACUGCGAGCGUGACGGCGCGAGCAGGUGCGAAAGCAGGUCAUAGUGAUCCGGUGGUUCUGAAUGGAAGGGCCAUCGCUCAACGGAUAAAAGGUACUCCGGGGAUAACAGGCUGAUACCGCCCAAGAGUUCAUAUCGACGGCGGUGUUUGGCACCUCGAUGUCGGCUCAUCACAUCCUGGGGCUGAAGUAGGUCCCAAGGGUAUGGCUGUUCGCCAUUUAAAGUGGUACGCGAGCUGGGUUUAGAACGUCGUGAGACAGUUCGGUCCCUAUCUGCCGUGGGCGCUGGAGAACUGAGGGGGGCUGCUCCUAGUACGAGAGGACCGGAGUGGACGCAUCACUGGUGUUCGGGUUGUCAUGCCAAUGGCACUGCCCGGUAGCUAAAUGCGGAAGAGAUAAGUGCUGAAAGCAUCUAAGCACGAAACUUGCCCCGAGAUGAGUUCUCCCUGAC